CCCUUCCUUCUGCUAACUGUUUUUACUUGAUGGUUACAACAUUGGCUCUUUCAGCUCCCCCCCGAGAUGACUUUCUAUUUCUGCGUCCAGGCUCACGAAAAGACAGCCUGAAGAGGGUUUUCGCCAUACACCGAACUUGGCGUUUCUGUAAGGUGGGAUGUUGGUUAUGUUUCUCCUUCCCCCCCCCCCCCCACUGUGUUCUGUGACGGGGAAGAAACCGUAGGGGAAACGCUUACUUGCCUGUGAGGGUCUCGCAGUCUAGCUGAACCCCGUGGGCAGAGAUCAGAAGAGCAC